UCCGUCUCUCAAUCGCACGCUACAAGUGGUGCAUCUUGCUCUGAACCUCUUCGUCGUCGCAAGAAGCUUGUCAUAACGUCACCAUCGAGUCUGGGUGCCGAACCUGUCCAGCUCGAAUCCCCUUACGCCAUCACUUCAGUCAUGCCAUGACCGCUGGGUCUCGCAUCGCCGUUGGCGAGUCAUUGAGUCCUGUAUUGCCGACAUCUCCGAAGUCGCAGCUCGUCGCCACCACGGCUUCAGCUUCCACGAGCUGGUUUUGCAGCAGGAGUCCGACGCCAAUUCCAUAGCCUAACCGUUAGUCAUUGUCCGACCCCAGCCUAUCGCCCAUCACCGUAGCAGGUGCAAAGUGGAGAAGAUGAACUUGAAAAUAAGGUAGAUGACAAGAUUGAGCAUUUUAUUAGUUG